AGCAGCCGCGGUAAUUCCAGCUCCAAUAGCGUAUAUUAAAGUUGUUGCAGUUAAAAAGCUCGUAGUUGAAUUUCGGGGUCAGUAGGCUGGUCGUGCCACGGGUAUGUACUGGUCUUACUGAUUCCUCCUUCCUGAUGAACCGUAAUGCCAUUAAUUUGGUGUUGCGGGGAAUCUGGACUGUUACUUUGAAAAAAUUAGAGUGUUUAAAGCAGGCUAACGCUUGAAUACAUUAGCAUGGAAUAAUGAAAUAGGACGAUCGAUCCUAUUUUGUUGGUUUCUAGGAUUGACGUAAUGAUUAAUAGGGAUAGUUGGGGGCAUUAGUAUUCAAUUGUCAGAGGUGAAAAUUCUUGGAUUUAUUGAAGACUAACUACUGCGAAAGCAUUUGCCAAGGAUGUUUUCAUUAAUCAAGAACGAAAGUUAGGGAUACGGAGACGAUCAGAUACCGUCGUA
rnacentral:rRNA from 1 species